GUGCCAGCCGCCUGCGGUAAUUCCAGCUCCAAUAGCGUAUAUUAAAGUUGUUGUGGUUAAAAAGCUCGUAGUUGAACCUUGGGCCUGGCUGGCCGGUCCGCCUCACCGCGUGCACUGGUCCGGCCGGGCCUCUCCCUCUGUGGAACCCCAUACCCUUCACUGGGCGUGGCGGGGAAACAGGACAUUUACUUUGAAAAAAUUAGAGUGCUCCAGGCAGGCCUAUGCUCGAAUACAUUAGCAUGGAAUAAUAAAAUAGGACGCGCGGUUCUAUUUUGUUGGUUUAUAGGACCGCCGUAAUGAUUAAUAGGGACAGUCGGGGGCAUCAGUAUUCAACUGUCAGAGGUGAAAUUCUUGGAUCAGUUGAAGACUAACUACUGCGAAAGCAUUUGCCAAGGAUGUUUUCAUUAAUCAGGAACGAAAGUUAGGGGAUCGAAGACGAUCAGAUACCGUCGUAGUCUUAACCAUAAACUAUGCCGACUAGGGAUCGGACGGUGUUAUUCAUGACCCGUUCGGCACCUUACGAGAAAUCAAAGUGCUUGGGCUCCAGGGGGAGUAUGGUCGCAAGGCUGAAACUUAAAGAAAUUGACGGAAGGGCACCACCAGGGGUGGAGCCUGCGGCUUAAUUUGACUCAACACGGGGAAACUCACCAGGUCCAGACACAAUAAGGAUUGACAGAUUGAGAGCUCUUUCUUGAUUUUGUGGGUGGUGGUGCAUGGCCGUUCUUAGUUGGUGGGGUGACUUGUCUGCUUAUUGCGAUAACGAACGAGACCUUAACCUGCUAAAUAGCCCGCAUUGCUCCGGCAGUGCGCUGGCUCUAGAGGACUUCGGCUCAGCCGAAGGAAGUGAGCAUAACAGUCUGGAUGCCUAGGUGUUCUGUCGCACGCGCGCUACACUGACGGGGUCAGCGGAGUUCUUGGCCGGAAAG
rnacentral:rRNA from 1 species